GAUGAACGCUGGCGGCGUGCCUAAUACAUGCAAGUCGAGCGAACGGACGAGAAGCUUGCUUCUCUGAUGUUAGCGGCGGACGGGUGAGUAACACGUGGAUAACCUACCUAUAAGACUGGGAUAACUUCGGGAAACCGGAGCUAAUACCGGAUAAUAUUUUGAACCGCAUGGUUCAAAAGUGAAAGACGGUCUUGCUGUCACUUAUAGAUGGAUCCGCGCUGCAUUAGCUAGUUGGUAAGGUAACGGCUUACCAAGGCAACGAUGCAUAGCCGACCUGAGAGGGUGAUCGGCCACACUGGAACUGAGACACGGUCCAGACUCCUACGGGAGGCAGCAGUAGGGAAUCUUCCGCAAUGGGCGAAAGCCUGACGGAGCAACGCCGCGUGAGUGAUGAAGGUCUUCGGAUCGUAAAACUCUGUUAUUAGGGAAGAACAUAUGUGUAAGUAACUGUGCACAUCUUGACGGUACCUAAUCAGAAAGCCACGGCUAACUACGUGCCAGCAGCCGCGGUAAUACGUAGGUGGCAAGCGUUAUCCGGAAUUAUUGGGCGUAAAGCGCGCGUAGGCGGUUUUUUAAGUCUGAUGUGAAAGCCCACGGCUCAACCCGUGGAGGGUCAUUGGAAACUGGAAAACUUGAGUGCAGAAGAGGAAAGUGGAAUUCCAUGUGUAGCGGUGAAAUGCGCAGAGAUAUGGAGGAACACCAGUGGCGAAGGCGACUUUCUGGUCUGUAACUGACGCUGAUGUGCGAAAGCGUGGGGAUCAAACAGGAUUAGAUACCCUGGUAGUCCACGCCGUAAACGAUGAGUGCUAAGUGUUAGGGGGUUUCCGCCCCUUAGUGCUGCAGCUAACGCAUUAAGCACUCCGCCUGGGGAGUACGACCGCAAGGUUGAAGCUCAAAGGAAUUGACGGGGACCCGCACAAGCGGUGGAGCAUGUGGUUUAAUUCGAAGCAACGCGAAGAACCUUACCAAAUCUUGACAUCCUUUGACAACUCUAGAGAUAGAGCCUUCCCCUUCGGGGGACAAAGUGACAGGUGGUGCAUGGUUGUCGUCAGCUCGUGUCGUGAGAUGUUGGGUUAAGUCCCGCAACGAGCGCAACCCUUAAGCUUAGUUGCCAUCAUUAAGUUGGGCACUCUAAGUUGACUGCCGGUGACAAACCGGAGGAAGGUGGGGAUGACGUCAAAUCAUCAUGCCCCUUAUGAUUUGGGCUACACACGUGCUACAAUGGACAAUACAAAGGGCAGCGAAACCGCGAGGUCAAGCAAAUCCCAUAAAGUUGUUCUCAGUUCGGAUUGUAGUCUGCAACUCGACUACAUGAAGCUGGAAUCGCUAGUAAUCGUAGAUCAGCAUGCUACGGUGAAUACGUUCCCGGGUCU
rnacentral:rRNA from 1 species